CCCUUAGACGUUCUGGGCCGCACGCGCGCUACACUGACCAGUGCAACAAGCAUCCGUCCUUGGCCGACAGGCUCGGGCAAUCUUUGAACGCUGGUCGUGAUGGGGAUAGACUUUUGCAAUUUUUGGUCUUCAACGAGGAAUUCCUAGUAAACGCAAGUCAUCAACUUGCAUUGAUUACGUCCCUGCCCUUUGCACACACCGCCCGUCGCACCUACCGAUUGAAUGGUCCGGUGAAGCCUCCGGAUUGGCGCGCACCUCGGUGCCGCCGAGAAGUUGGCUAAACCUUACCAUUUAGAGGAAGGUGAAGUCGUAACA
rnacentral:rRNA from 1 species